AGAGAGAUAGCUGGGUCAAAUGGUGAUUCCAUUCCCAAUUUUACAAGAAUCUCCAUACUGCUUUCCAUAGUGGCUGCACCAGUUUGCAGUCCCAACAGCAGU
rnacentral:pre_miRNA from 1 species